rnacentral:misc_RNA from 1 species
UUAACUAUUAUAUAGUACUCAGACGACACUAAUAAACAGAGUUUGGGGUCCUCUGGCGAGCACUCACCAGCGGAAGCCGGUGGCCGAGGCGGCUCGCCAAAGCAACAAAGGUUUAAUAACAUAGGGUUGGAGAGUCACCCCGUGAGGGCGAUGUUCUCUGUAAUGAUCCCUCCGCAGGUUCACCUACGGAGA